GCCCCCCUCUCCGGGACAACCUUGGGAAACCGAGGCUAAUACCGGAUACUCCCUCCCCUGCUCCUGCAGGGGUCGGGAAAGCCCAGGCGGAGGGGGAUGGGGUCGCGGCCCAUUAGGUAGUAGGCGGGGUAACGGCCCACCUAGCCCGCGAUGGGUAGCCGGGUUGAGAGACCGACCGGCCACAUUGGGACUGAGAUACGGCCCAGACUCCUACGGGAGGCAGCAGUGGGGAAUUUUGCGCAAUGGGGGCAACCCUGACGCAGCAACGCCGCGUGCGGGACGACGGCCUUCGGGUUGUAAACCGCUUUCAGCAGGGAAGAAAUUCGACGGUACCUGCAGAAGAAGCUCCGGCUAACUACGUGCCAGCAGCCGCGGUAAUACGUAGGGAGCGAGCGUUAUCCGGAUUCAUUGGGCGUAAAGAGCGCGUAGGCGGCCUCUCAAGCGGGAUCUCUAAUCCGAGGGCUCAACCCCCGGCCGGAUCCCGAACUGGGAGGCUCGAG
rnacentral:rRNA from 1 species